UUCUUCACUACUAAAAUAAUUCAUACUCUGUUCUUGAGCCCUAAUCUCUGCUCUUCUGCUUCUCUUUCUCUCUUUUUUUUAUUUAUUUAUGUUCUUUCGUUUGUGGUGUUGUAGCGCAUCUUCUAUUUUCAACAUCUCCGACGCACGCUUGAGAAGUAAAACCCUAAAUAUAAUAGAUAUAUAUAGCGCCCGUACGUCUUCUUCUAUUUUCUCCGACGACGUUGCUUCAUUCUUCACUGGACUCCCACUCACACGGCUUGGAGGAACCAAAGACACUCUCGAUGGCAAAUCUGGUAGCUUUAUUUAACUGAGGGAGAAUUCAGAGGAGUCCUAGGAAUGAUCUACAGAAGUUUGCCAUUCUCUGUGGAUUAUGCCAUAAGGUAAUUUAUGAAUGUACAUCAGAGGAUCUUCCGGUGGUUGGAGGAAUUCUUGGAAAAAAUGAUAUGAUUAUGAUCUUAUUGCCUUCACUUACAAGGAUCUACAGAAGUUUGCCGUUCUCUGUGGAUUAUGCCAUAAGGUGGGUAUUGAGUUGAUUCCAAGGGACUUUUUUGACAUGAAUUCUCCAGCAUCGUUACGGAAAACAGAUGUGGUCUAUCUGGUCCCAGUUCACAAGCAAACAGCAUGUUCAUCUCUGCUGAUGGAACGCAACUUCUGAAGUCAUCUAAAACAGCUUUAUACAAAGGAAAGCUUGAAGAUGCUAUUGAACAAAGUGACGGUGUAAUGCGCGUGUAUUGUCCAUAACGAAACCAAAGGGUUGUUGCAAGCGCAAUGUUCCUCUUCGGCAAGAUCAUCUCUCCAAGAACCUCACACUUCUUAUUUAUAAACGAUCAUCUCUCCAAGAACCUCCUUACACUCAAACAGUCCCCACAAGUACUUACCCUGUAACAAGUGGUCCUUUUCAUACCAAUCAGUUCCCAUGUGUCGUAUUUUGUACCAAGAACGGUUUGGCCUGGAUGCCAUCCCGUUUGAGUUUCCCCCUUUGCACAUUAUUACCGGACCAAUAGUUGCAACUGUGUUAGAGCCAACUGAUAUUGACACUUCAGGAGUAGAAGAAUGAACGAAAAAGGAAGAAGAAGAAAAGGAAAAAGGCAAGCUAGAUGUGGCUAUCGCGAACGAAGUUAUGGAUUCUGUUAACCUUGUGAACAGUUCAGUGGCUCAACCCAUUAAGCUUGGUUAUAGCAGAGUUAUCAGAGAUAGCGAGGCUUCAAGGCCUGUAGCCUAAAACUCUUUCCAGAGAUUGAGCCAAUUCGAUGAAAUGAAAAACUCACAGAUCUUUGCUGUUUCUUAAUUAGGGACAGUAUAAAGGUAGAUCUGUUAUCAGUCAGGGGAAGCUGAGGCUUGUGAUAGCCUUGAAAUGGAGUCGGAAUAUGAUUUGAAUUUCUAUACGGAAAGGUUGUGCAGAGGGAAAACCACCUAAGCAUAACCUUUCAAUCUUCAUGUCUCACCUGAAUUUUAUGA